rnacentral:rRNA from 1 species
GACGAACGCUGGCGGCGUGCUUAACACAUGCAAGUCGAACGGUGAAGCGCCUUCCUUUUUGGUGGGUGUGGAUGAGUGGCGAACGGGUGAGUAACACGUGAGUAACCUGCCCCCUUCUUCUGGAUAACCGCAUGAAAGUGUGGCUAAUACGGGAUAUUCUGGGUCUGUCGCAUGAUGGGUCUGGGACAGAUAUUGUUUCGGUGGGGGAUGGGCUCGCGGCCUAUCAGCUUGUUGGUGGGGUGAUGGCCUACCAAGGCGGUGACGUGUAGCCGGCCUGAGAGGGUGGACGGUCACAAUGGGAAUGAGACACGGCCCAGACGCCUACGAGAGGCAGCAGUGGGGAAUAGUGCACAAUGGGCGCAAGCCUGAUGCAGCGACGCCGCGUGAGGGAUGGAGGCCUGCGGGUUGUGAACCUCUUUCGCCAGUGAAGCAGGCCUGCCUCGUUUGUGGGUGGGUUGACGGUAGCUGGAUAAGAAGCGCCGGCUAACUACGUG